ensembl:lncRNA
AUGUGGAGGCUAUAUACAGGGGGGUACCGGUACAGAGUCAAUGUGGAGGCUUUAUACAGGGGUACCGGUACAGAGUCAAUGUGGAGGCUUUAUACAGGGGGGUACCGGUACAGAGUCAAUGUGGAGGCUUUAUACAGGGGGUACCGGUACAGAGUCAAUGUGGAGGCUUUAUACAGGGGGUACCGGUACAGAGUCAAUGUGGAGGCUUUAUACAGGGGGUACCGGUACAGAGUCAAUGUGGAGGCUUAUACAGGGGGGUACCAGUACAGAGUCAAUGUGGAGGCUUUAUACAGGGGGUACCGGUACAGAGUCAAUGUGGAGGCUUUAUACAGGGGGUACCGGUACAGAGUCAAUGUGGAGGCUAUAUACAGGGGGUACCGGUACAGAGUCAAUGUGGAGGCUUUAUACAGGGGGUACCAGUACAGAGUCAAUGUGGAGGCUAUAUACAGGGGGUACCAGUACAGAGUCAAUGUGGAGGCUAUAUACAGGGGGUACCAGUACAGAGUCAAUGUGGAGGCUAUAUACAGGGGGUACCGGUACAGAGUCAAUGUGGAGGCUAUAUACAGGGGGUACCAGUACAGAGUCAAUGUGGAGGCUAUAUACAGGGGGUACCAGUACAGAGUCAAUGUGGAGGCUAUAUACAGGGGGUACCAGUACAGAGUCAAUGUGGAGGCUAUAUACAGGGGGUACCAGUACAGAGUCAAUGUGGAGGCUAUAUACAGGGGGUACCGGUACAGAGUCAAUGUAGAGGCUAUAUACAGGGGGUACCGGUACAGAGUCAAUGUGGAGGCUAUAUACAGGGGGGUACCGGUACAGAGUCAAUGUGGAGGCUAUAUACAGAGGGUACCGGUACAGAGUCAAUGUGGAGGCUAUAUACAGGGGGUACCAGUACAGAGUCAAUGUGGAGGCUUUAUACAGGGGGUACCGGUACAGAGUCAAUGUGGAGGCUUUAUACAGGGGGUACCGGUACAGAGUCAAUGUGGAGGCUUUAUACAGGGGGUACCGGUACAGAGUCAAUGUGGAGGCUAUAUACAGGGGGUACCGGUACAGAGUCAAUGUGGAGGCUAUAUACAGGGGGUACCGGUACAGAGUCAAUGUGGAGGCUAUAUACAGGGGGUACCGGUACAGAGUCAAUGUGGAGGCUUUAUACAGGGGGUACCGGUACAGAGUCAAUAUGGAGGCUAUAUACAGGGGGUACCGGUACAGAGUCAAUGUGGAGGCUAUAUACAGGGGGUACCGGUACAGAGUCAAUGUGGAGGCUAUAUACAGGGGGUACCGGUACAGAGUCAAUGUGGAGGCUUUAUACAGGGGGUACCGGUACAGAGUCAAUAUGGAGGCUAUAUACAGGGGUACCGGUACAGAGUCAAUGUGGAGGCUAUAUACAGGGGGGUACCGGUACAGAGUCAAUAUGGAGGCUAUAUACAGGGGGUACCGGUACAGAGUCAAUGUGGAGGCUAUAUACAGGGGGUACCAGUACAGAGUCAAUGUGGAGGCUUUAUACAGGGGGUACCGGUACAGAGUCAAUGUGGAGGCUUUAUACAGGGGGUACCGGUACAGAGUCAAUGUGGAGGCUAUAUACAGGGGGUACCGGUACAGAGUCAAUGUGGAGGCUUUAUACAGGGGGUACCGGUACAGAGUCAAUGUGGAGGCUAUAUACAGGGGGUACCGGUACAGAGUCAAUGUGGAGGCUUUAUACAGGGGGUACCGGUACAGAGUCAAUGUGGAGGCUAUAUACAGGGGGGUACCGGUUACAGAGUCAAUGUGGAGGCUAUAUACAGGGGGUACCGGUACAGAGUCAAUGUGGAGGCUAUAUACAGGGGGUACCGGUACAGAGUCAAUGUGGAGGCUUUAUACAGGGGGUACCGGUACAGAGUCAAUAUGGAGGCUAUAUACAGGGGGUACCGGUACAGAGUCAAUGUGGAGGCUAUAUACAGGGGGUACCGGUACAGAGUCAAUGUGGAGGCUAUAUACAGGGGGUACCGGUACAGAGUCAAUGUGGAGGCUUUAUACAGGGGGUACUGGUACAGAGUCAAUAUGGAGGCUAUAAACAGGGGGGUACCGGUACAGAGUCAAUGUGGAGGCUAUAUACAGGGGGUACCGGUACAGAGUCAAUAUGGAGGCUAUAUACAGGGGGUACCGGUACAGAGUCAAUGUGGAGGCUAUAUACAGGGGGUACCGGUUACAGAGUCAAUGUGGAGGCUUUAUACAGGGGGUACCGAUACAGAGUCAAUGUGGAGGCUUUAUACAGGGGGUACCGGUACAGAGUCAAUGUGGAGGCUAUAUACAGGGGGUACCGGUACAGAGUCAAUGUGGAGGCUUAUACAGGGGGUACCGGUACAGAGUCAAUGUGGAGGCUAUAUACAGGGGGUACCGGUACAGAGUCAAUGUGGAGGCUAUAUACAGGGGGUACCGGUACAGAGUCAAUGUGGAGGCUUUAUACAGGGGGUACCGGUACAGAGUCAAUGUGGAGGCUUUAUACAGGGGGUACCGGUACAGAGUCAAUGUGUCAAUGUAUGGGGCACCGGUGUCGAGGUAAUUGAGGUAAUUAUUUACAUUCAGGUAGGGUUGUUAAAGUGGCUGUCAAUAGAUAAUAACUGA